rnacentral:lncRNA from 1 species
CUCAAAAUGAAACUAAGUUCAACCACCAGGAAGAAAGGUAAUCUUCUUUCCAAUGAAAAUAAAUUUCGAAUAUAUUUAUCGUAUAGAGAAUAUGUGGUUUAUCAAUUCUAUUAUAUUAGGAAAAUCAUGCAAAAUUAUGUGUCACUUUUCUUUACUGCAAGUAUUUAAUUUGUAUUAUAUACAUGAAUAGUAUAACAUACCAUGUCUGUCACUGCAUAAUCAAACGAAUGAACGCAUGCAAUCCAUCACUUCCACCAUGUCUUGGGAUAAGAAAAAAUGUAGAGGAAUUCAAAGUAUAUUUUGGAUACAAAUUCAUCAGCCAACAAAUUCUUCAAUAAUAUGAAUAUCAAAGCUAAAAUGAAACCUAAAACUUAUUCAUGCAAAUCUCAAUCAUUUUCAUUUGGCCAAAAAAUAUUGAAUCUAUCACUAGCUGUUGAACAGCUCGUCUUACUGAACCUCAAGUUUGUUAAUAUUUCGAAGAACAUUUACUGAAUCUCAAGUUUGUUAAUAUCUCGAAGAACAUGAAAAUUUUGAAUUUAGAAAGCACGACUCCUUCGGCAUAAUCACUCCAAGCUGCUCGGAGUGACCACGCUCCGGACUGCGCAGAGAUCGCUUCGGGCUCUGCGGGGUGAUCUUGGCGCCUUUAUGCUCCGCGCUGCGCGAGAGAUCACUCCCCGCAGCCCCGAGUGUCCCAGUUUUUGGGACACUCCGCUCUGCACGGAGUGUCUCAGCGGAGUGUCUCCAAAACGUUACAAUAAAAAAAAAUACAUUAUACCCAAAAAAUUAUUAUUUAUAAAAUUAAAAACAUUUUACAAUAAAUACAAAUUAUAAUAUAAAACUCAUCUUUCAUUAUUUAUAAAAUUAAAAAUAUUUUACAAUAAAUACAAAUUAUUAUAUAACUAGUAAUCUUAAAAUUUUUCGUAACCCUUUUAAUUUCAUUAAAUAAUUAUAUUCUUUUCCAAAAUUCGACUCAAAAAUACAUUUUUUAUAUUUAGAAUUUUAAUAUCAAAUUUCCACAUUCAAGAAUAAAAUAAAAUGCGAGGGGUAAAUAUAUUUUAACAUUCCUUGUUAAAUAUUUAUUUUUAAUCUUUUAAUUAUAACAUUUAAUUUCUCGAAUUUAGUACUUCAAAAAAAUACAAAUUUAACACAUUUAAUAUAAUUUCUUUUCUACGAUCAACUACCACGUCUAAUGUAAAAAAUUUCAAUUAUCUAUUAACAUCAAAAAAUGUUUCUUUUACUUAAUUAAUUUUUUAAUUACUAUAAUUCUCAAUUACAUUAUACCAUAAUUUUUUUUAUUAAAACCCUUUCACAAAAAAAUACAAAUUUAGUUUCUCGAAUUUAGUACUUCAAAAAAAAUACAAAUUUAACACAUUUAAUAUAAUUUCUUUUCUACGAUCAACUACCACGUCUAAUGUAAAAAAAUUCAAUUAUCUAUUAACAUCAAAAAAUGUUUCUUUUACUUAAUUAAUUUUUUAAUUACUAUAAUUCUCAAUUACAUUAUACCAUAAUUUUUUUAAUUAAAAACCCUUUCACAAACAUACAUAUCUUCAUUUUUAUUUAUUUAAAUUAUACAUAUAAAUUCAUUUUAUCUAAAGGUGAACAUAAUGAACUUAAUCAAAAUUUUCGUUUUUCUAUGUUUUAUACACAUAUAGUUAUUAACUAUCAUUUGAUUUAUUUUAACUUUCGUAUAAUUUUUUCUUUAAAUAUAUUGCAUAAAUAUUAAAGUUAACAAAUUUUAUUUAUUCAAACUACAUACCAAUCAUAGUUCAAAUUAUGUUGUUUCGAUUUAUAUAUUGUACUAUUAUAUUUCUAAUAUGAAACUGUAAAAAUAUCAUAAAGUUUCAUACAAUUGUAACCAAUUAUCCUUUCCAUCACAAUAUAUAUAUACAGUUUCACAUCAAACACAAAACACAAUGGUUCAAAUAGUAUAGAUAUAAUACUAAAUUUUUUGUUCAUGAAGUUGCAGUUUCUAAAAUGUUAUUCAUCAUCAUGAACAAAAAUUAGCCAGUUUCUAAAAAAUUAUGUUAAAUUAGUAUAUGAAUAAAUUUGUUGACUACUAAACAGUUUUUUUAUUACUUUUUGCAGAUGUCACUAGAAUACAUAUUAUCUCCAAAUCAAUGGUUCUCUGCUACAAUUACUCAAUUUGCAAAUCAUCAAUAUUUUAAAGAUUUUGUAGAACUUAUAAAUGCAGAUGAUCAAGCCUCUUUAUUGUGCAGUCCAUUCCAUGGAUUCAUUUGUGGAAAUAUGAAUAAGAAGCAAAACGACAAAUUUAGCAGCAAGUUAACACAUGAGUUCAUAAUGAGACUUAUAAACUGUGGUAAAAAUAACUAAGUUUGG